UUUAGGCAUUGAGUUUGAUUUGUUUAGCUAUUAUUGAUAUUAUAAAAUCGUUAAUGCAUAGAUUUGAUUGAGUUGGAGCUGAAUUCGAGAGGAAAAUCGAUUGUUGAGGAUUGAAUUGGCCGUGAAAGAUCGAUGAAAGUGUUUGGUCUAACUUUGACUCUAGAGGAGUGGAGUCUUAUUUGCUAAGUGUUAUUUGUCGAGUAUGGUGUAUAUGCAUGUUGACGGGUAUCUAUAC
rnacentral:lncRNA from 1 species